GGGCUUGUAAAAUAGGAGCGUCUUGACUGUGAUAAGGGCUUGUAAAAUAGGUGUGUCUUGACUGUGAUAAGGGCUUGUAAAAUAGGUGUGUCUUGACUGUGAUAAGGGCUUGUAAAAUAGGAGCGUCUUGUCUGAUAAGGGCUUGUAAAAUAGGUGUGUCUUGACUGUGAUAAGGGCUUGUAAAAUAGGAGCGUCUUGUCUGUGAUAAGGGCUUGUAAAAUAGGAGCGUCUUGACUGUGAUAAGGGCUUGUAAAAUAGGAGCGUCUUGACUGUGAUAAGGGCUUGUAAAAUAGGUGUGUCUUGACUGUGAUAAGGGCUUGUAAAAUAGGAACGUCUUGUCUGCUAAAUUAACAAAACA